GAAGACAUGGUUUAAUAGGUAUAAUGUAUGCUUUACAAGCAUAAGGUUAUCGGUUCAAGUCCGAUUGUCUCCA
rnacentral:tRNA from 1 species